rnacentral:tRNA from 1 species
AAAGGCUUAGGAUUAAUAUUAGACCAAAGGCCUUCAAAGCCUUAAGCAGGUGAUAAACCACCUAGCCUUUG